AGUGAACGCUGGCGGUAGACCUAACACAUGCAAGUCGAACGGCAGCACAGUAAGAGCUUGCUCUUACGGGUGGCGAGUGGCGGACGGGUGAGGAAUACAUCGGAAUCUACUUUUUCGUGGGGGAUAACGUAGGGAAACUUACGCUAAUACCGCAUACGACCUACGGUUGAAAGCAGGGGAUCUUCGGACCUUGCGCGAUUGAAUGAGCCGAUGUCGGAUUAGCUAGUUGGCGGGGUAAAGGCCCACCAAGGCGACGAUCCGUAGCUGGUCUGAGAGGAUGAUCAGCAAAACUGGAAAUGAGAAACGGUCCAGAAUCCGACGGGAGGCAGAAGUGGGGAAUAUUGGACAAUGGGCGCAAGCCUGAUCCAGCCAUACAGCGUGGGUGAAGAAGGCCUUCGGGUUGUAAAGCCCUUUUGUUGGGAAAGAAAAGCAGCAGGUUAAUACAACGCUGUUCUGACGGUACCAAAAGAAUAAGCACCGGCUAACUUCGU
rnacentral:rRNA from 1 species